UCGAAAGCCUGGCAGGAGAUAACAGAAAAAAUAAAUUCAAGAAAUCUUGCUGUCAAGCGAACAGUAGAAGAAGUUAUGAAAAAGUAUGAAAACAUAGUGGUGAGUUCAAGAAAAUAAAUAGCAAACAAUAAAAAAGAAUCCGGAAAGACCGGUGAGUAACGUUCAUGCUCGCGCCUGAUCAAUUUUAUCAAAAAGGUAUCGCGCUUGGUAUGGAACAAUGUUAUUGUUUUGUUGUGUAAAGGAGGAGGGCCACCGCCACAAGACCUAUGCGAUACAGCGAAAUUGGUACAAGAUAUAUUAGGGAAGGAUUCUCCUUCUCUAGUCGGUAUACCAGGCGUUCCUCAAAGCAGUUCGGGAAGCAGCCUACCUACUCAUAACUGGGAAGAUGUUCAAGUGACAAGCCCCACUCCCAGCAAUACAUCCCAAAGACGUUCGUUUGAGGAAAGAGGAUUGGAAACAACCAAGGCUACAUCAGGGCUGGCUGAACUUCAAUGCGAAGUUCUUUUGCUGCAGAAGAGAAAAGCAGAGUUGGAGAUUUCUAAAAUAGAACUGGAAAAGUAAAACUUGAAUAUGCAGAAUAUAGUUCUCCAAUACAAAAUUAACAAACUUGCUCGAGAUGGAUUAAUAACUAUACAACCAGUAGGGGAAGAGUAACACAAACUUUGAUCUGUUGAUAGGGUGUUUAUUAUUCAAAUGAUUU